CUACGGGAGGCAGCAGUAGGGAAUUUUCGUCAAUGGGGGAAACCCUGAACGAGCAAUGCCGCGUGAGUGAAGAAGGCCUUCGGGUCGUAAAGCUCUGUUGUAAAGGAAGAACGUGCACUAUAGGGAAUGAUAGUGUAAUGACGGUACUUUACCAGAAAGCCACGGCUAAUUACGUGCCAGCAGCCGCGGUAAUACGUAGGUGGCAAGCGUUAUCCGGAAUUAUUGGGCGUAAAGGGAGCGUAGGCGGCAAAAUAAGUCUGAGGUAAAAGACAGUGGCUCAACCACUGCAAGCCUUGGAAACUGUUAUGCUAGAGUGCAGGAGAGGUAAAUGGAAUUCCAUGUGUAGCGGUAAAAUGCGUAGAAU
rnacentral:rRNA from 1 species